rfam:Trichobilharzia regenti genome assembly, scaffold: TRE_scaffold0003827
AUCCAAUUGAUGAGUCCCGAAUAGGACGGAAAGCGCAUCCUGGAU